rnacentral:rRNA from 1 species
UACGUAGGGAGCAAGCGUUGUCCGGAAUCAUUGGGCGUAAAGCGCGCGUAGGCGGCCCUGUAAGUCCGUUGUGAAAGUCAAAGGCUCAACCUUUGAAAGCCGAUGGAUACUGCAGGGCUAGAGUCCGGAAGAGGCGAGUGGAAUUCCUGGUGUAGCGGUGGAAUGCGCAGAUAUCAGGAGGAACACCAAUAGCGAAGGCAGCUCGCUGGGACGGUACUGACGCUAAGGCGCGAAAGCGUGGGAGCGAACGAGGA